rnacentral:rRNA from 1 species
GCGAACGGCGUGCAGUCGUGCGCGGGAAGACGGAGGGUUCAAGCGGUAUCCGGAGUCACUGUGUUGAAAGUGUGCGUAGGUGGAUAUGUAAGUCAGUGGUGAAAGCCCGCGGCUCAACCGGGGAAUGGCCAUUGAAACUGAAUAGCUUGAGUACAGUUGAAGUGGGCGGAAUACAGCAUGUAGCGGUGAAAUGCUUAGAUAUGAUGUAGAACACCGAUUGCGAAGGCAGCUCACUAAGCUGUAACUGACACUGAGGCACGAAAGCGUGGGUAGCGAACAGGAUUAGAUACCCCAGUAGUC